rnacentral:lncRNA from 10 species
AGGGGGGCAAUCCCCAAACCCAUCCAAGUUAGAAGAAGCAGGAGCCGGAAGCUAGAAGUGACCUUGAGAAAUUGAGCCAGUUGCUCCUUCAUAGAUCUGCAGAGAGCAUCAGAUUUUUUGAAUAACACACAGGAUGAUGUUUGGAACUAACUUUGUCCUGAUUUUAAGGAGCACGAUGAACCAGAAGUGAGAGGCUGGAGAGGUGGGAGAAACAGAAGUCCUGGAGAAGCUGCAAUCUAGAUCCUCAAUGACUGAGAGCACAUGAGGCAACCUCAACUUUUUAAAGGUGACAAUUUCGAAGAGAAAUAGGAAGUACUGCAGGAUUGUAAAACAAACACUAAGGGAGAUUCUUUUUCCACAAAUACAGGUUUCUUUCUCCUCCCAAUAAUUGUCGAUUACCUUCUAUUCCAGAAUAAGAAAAACAAAUACUCAAACAUGGUUGCUUUUGAAAACCAGGGGAGCUGUUUUAUUCUUCUGAUAAUUAUAAGAAAAACAAGAAAAGAGAAGAGAAGCGUGUCCCUCUUUACCUCCAUAGACCUACUGCCACCCCUGGAAACACACAGGCUCUGUUGCCAGGACCAAGGCUGAAAAAGCCGUUGUGGUGUGCAGUCGUGCAGCUGCAGAGAGAUGUGGACUGUUAUAAUAAAUACAAACAGCUGAUUCUACAAUGCAGGUUCUUACUUUGGGGAGAAGGAAACCUCGUAUGGUUUUUGGUUUCGAUUUUUUUCUAUAACCAGAUGUCUCAUCUUCGGUUACUUUUUCCUGAUAAUAUCUAUUGCUAUUGAGUGUUCUAGAUGUUUUUUUCUACCUUUGAUAUGCCAGACAGAAUGAAGUAUAAUCUUUCUCCCUUGGUGGCAAUUUAAACAAAGAGACAUAUUUCUUAUCUAUUUACUAGUGGUUAAUAUAGCAGUUAAAUGUCUCCAACUUUUUAACUCUUUUUCUGUCCCUUAUUCCUCAGAUGCUGGAAAAACAAAUAAUCUAUUGUUCUAGAUGAUUCCCUGGACUUUAAAGCCACGCCAUAAAUAUCAUUAUUGUGCCUUGUCUGAAAGGACAGAAAAUUUCCAGUAUUUUUGUAAAAAUAGAUAGAUGGAUUUUUGCUCAUGAGGCAUAAUUUUGUUCUUCCAAUAGCUGGAAUUACUCUUUUGUUAAAGAAGUCAAUUUCAUUUUGUUUUCAAAACAAAAAGCAUGCACAAAGACAUUCUUCUGGCAUAGAAAUCCAUCAUAUCAGAAAUAGUUUUAAUCAAGGCAAAGAAGAAGCCUUUAAUGGCAAAAGCGUAUUUAUCAUCUAAUCAUUUAUAAAAGGGUUUUAUUUGACUUGGCUUGGAAAUUGUUUUAGCAGAUUGUAUGAAACAAGGCACCUCCUGCAGACUGAAUCAUAACACAUACAUUUGUCCAAUAUUCUUAGCUAGUUUUAAACAUUUGAUGUGUGUAUGCACAAUCGAAAGGAAGUCAGAAAGAGCCUUUAUUUUUAAUUAUUAUACUCAU